UACGUAGGGGGCGAGCGUUGUCCGGAGUUACUGGGCGUAAAGCGCACGCAGGCGGUCUGCUAAGUUUGGAGUGACAGUUGGUGGCUUAACUGCCAAAGUGCUUCGAAAACUGACAGACUUGAGGGCUUCAGAGGGACACGGAAUUCCGGGUGGAGUGGUGAAAUGCGUAGAUAUCUGGAAGAACACCAAUGGCGAAGGCAAUGUUCUGGCUCGUUUCUGACGCUCAGGUGCGAAAGCCAGGGGAGCGAACGGG
rnacentral:rRNA from 1 species